UCCUGGCUUAGGAUGAACGCUAGCGACAGGCCUAACACAUGCAAGUCGAGGGGCAGCACAAGGAGCAAUCUGAGGUGGCGACCGGCGCACGGGUGAGUAACACGUACGCAACCUGGCUGUAAAGAGGGGGAAUAACCCGGAGAAAUCCGGACUAAUACCGCUAUAAUACUUAGAAUCCGCAUGGAUUUUAAGUUAAACAUUUAUGGCUUACAGAUGGGCAUGCGUAUGAUUAGCUGGUUGGAGAGGUAACGGCUCCCCAAGGCAACGAUCAUUAGGGGUUCUGAGAGGAAGGUCCCCCACACUGGUACUGAGACACGGACCAGACUCCUACGGGAGCAGCAGUGAGGAAUAUUGGUCAAUGGACGCAAGUCUGAACCAGCCCAAGUCGCGUGAAGGAAGAAUGUCCUAUGGAUUGUAAACUUCUUUUGAAGGGGAAUAAAGUACGGUACGUGUACCGUUUUGUAUGUACCCUUCGAAUAAGGAUCGGCUAACUCCGUGCCAGCCGCCGC
rnacentral:rRNA from 1 species